rnacentral:misc_RNA from 1 species
AGACAUUUCUUUUGCUAUGAGUGUCAAUCAAUUUCUGCAAACUCCAUGCAAUACUCAUUAGGAUGCAAUAACUCGUAUUCUCAUACAUAUCAAAAAAGCUUUAGGACAAGGUUUGCUAUAUGAAGACAAGGGUCACUCACAAGUUGUUGAGUGCUCUGAUACAGAUAUCGAAGAUAGGUUGGAAAGCUAAAUUAUCUCAUAAUAACACAGCCAAACAUUUCUUUUGUUGUGAGUAUUGUUAGUCGGUUUCUCCAAGCUUCAUGUAGUACUAAUUAGGAUGCAAUAAGUCAUAUUCACAGAUAUAUCAAAAGAGCUCCAGGACAAGGUUUGCAAUGUAAAUGACAUGAGUCACUCACAAGUUGUUAGGUAUUCUGAUAAUGAUUGGGCAGGAUCUCCCGCAUAUAAGCAAUCUACUUCAGGAUACUAUGUUAUUGUUAUGAAAAGUCAAUCACU